rnacentral:rRNA from 1 species
GACGAACGCUGGCGGCGUGCUUAACACAUGCAAGUCGAACGGAAAGGCCCUGCUUUUGUGGGGUGCUCGAGUGGCGAACGGGUGAGUAACAAGUGAGUAACCUGCCCUUGACUUUGGGAUAACUUCAGGAAACUGGGGCUAAUACCGGAUAGGAGCUCCUGCUGCAUGGUGGGGGUUGGAAAGUUUCGGCGGUUGGGGAGGGACUCGCGGCUUAUCAGCUUGUUGGUGGGGUAGUGGCUUACCAAGGCUUUGACGGGUACCCGGCCUGAGAGGGUGACCGGCCACAUUGGGACUGAGAUACGGCCCAGACUCCUACGGGAGGCAGCAGUGGGGAAUAUUGCACAAUGGGCGGAAGCCUGAUGCAGCAACGCCGCGUGCGGGAUGACGGCCUUCGGGUUGUAAACCGCUUUCGCCUGUGACGAAGCGUGAGUGACGGUAAUGUGUAAAGAAGCACCGGCUAACUACGUG